ACAUCCCUCUUAAGCUUCCAAACUUAAAGGGACACUAUAGUCACCAGAACAACUACAGCUUAUUGUAUUUGUUCUGGUAAGUAGAAUCAUUCCAUUUAGGCCUUUUGCAGUAAACACUGUCUUUUCAGAGAAAAUAACUCCACUGGCCACUCCUUAGAUGGCUGCUAGAGGUACUUCCUGGGGCAGUACUGCCUAGUGUGCAGCACUGCCAUUCAGUGUCUCCACCCUCUGCAUGCAG